ACAAAUAUUAGUAGUGUACCAUCUCACAGGCGAGUCAGUUGUCCUCCAGACUUCGUGGUGGGAGGAUGUGUCACCUCGGCUCCUCAUUUAUGUUCUUAGGAAUGUGUAGCAAGGAGGCGUGUUGUCAUGAGCGGAAGAAACAACGAGACAACCGCUGCCACCAAGGACAAACUGGCUGACCAGGGAGAGGAGCUCAAGGAUCUCCAACCGCCACAAGACUGCAGAAGGGAAGCGUAUUAGUAACAGUGAUGCAAGACGAUGGAUCAUCACCCGUUACGUGAUUUGACCCACCAAAUGGAGAACUUCUGGCUACUUUCAACUCGCAAGAUUCAUUAUCGCUACUGCAAAUUAACUAGAUACGAAGAUUCAUUACUUGACCCAGCAAACAUAAAAGCCCAUCUAAUAGACUGAACUGGUAAAACAAUGGGAAGGAGCCCCACACUAAAGUAUAAUCUCGGACAAAAUUUAAGUAUCUUGACAGCCAACAAGUGUUACGGAAUGUGCUAUCAUGAAACAGUGCUGCAGUCACUGUGAGGGGAGGGAUUAAAACCACAAUGUUGAAAAAAAUAUUUUAAUUUUCAGUAUGAAAUUCCUUACUAUUGUGCUUUUGUGGUCAUUGGUCAGUGUAAAAGUAGAAAUUAAUCAUUAUAAUGUAUUUGCAUCUGGGAGGCUAACCCAAUUAGCACCACAUCAUGGCUGCAUCACUCAUGAAUAGCACCUUAAUGAGAACCAUGUGAAAAUUUUAAUGUUUGAUGCUGUAUAUAAUACAUGUUCUCAUCUUGGUACUGUUCUUUGAGGACUAAGUGUAAGGUAAUGCAAAUAUGUAUUUCCUGUGGCACUCGACUAACACCCUGUUCACACAGACAUUCACCACCCUCAUUGCCACCCACACCAGUCACAGUCAUCACACUGCCCUGCUUCCAGCACCCCUCACACCCCAUACCCUUGAGUUUCUCAAGUCUUAGUAUUCUUGGAGCCUGGCCACGGACCAGGCUCAUCUGGUGCUAGCCUGGUCAACCAAGCUCUUUCUGUUGGAGGCCUAUUGCCCCACAUAUCUGACACAGCCUGGUUGAUUGGCACCUUGUGAAGAUACUUGUUUAGUUUUCUCUCGACUUCUACACUUGUUCCAGUAGUGUUUCUGAUUUCUGGUAAAAUGUUGAUACUGUGUUCCCUAAUUGUGCCCAUCACACCCCUGCUUUUCACUGGGUUUGUUUUGCACUUUCCACCCAUUUCUCACGCUCCAGUAUAUUAUGGUAGCAAUGCAGAUUUGGAACCAGGCCCUGUAAUACUUUCCAGGUAUAUAUCAUGUAUCUCUCCUCCACUCCACUGAGUACAUGUUCAAGACUUUAAAUGCUUUACUGGCUCUUUGUGGGCCAUAACAAUCUCUGUAUGUGUUCCAGCUGUGAUAUUUCUCCAGCCUUGAACGGGGCCGUCAACACUGAGCAAUAGUCCAAAUGAGAGAGCACUAACGAUUUGAAAAGUGUCUCCAUUGGCAUUAUUUCCCUUGUUUUGAAAGUUUUCAGUACCCCCCUUAAGGGAGAAUCCUUGAUGCUGUUGAAGGGCUCUUGAUCUAGGGAAUUGGAUCUGUGCUCCAGUUCCUUGAAUUAAGCCUGAAUACCUUCCAUCCCCCCCACAAAGGUGUUGUAUAAUCCUACAGGUUUAGUGCUUCCCCAUGAUUAUUAUAAUACCCACCCCAUCAUCUUCCUGUCAUGAUCUAUGUUCUUGGAAAGAAAGGUCAGCUGACAUAAUUAUUCCUAAGUCUUUCAUGUGUUUCGUUCUAUUUGGUGAUCCUCUUAAGUUUUCUAUAGUUUGAGUUCAUUCUUUCCACACCUAAGUAGCUGGAACUUAUCACCACUGAAUGUCAUGUUCUCCACUGCCCACUGGAAAACACUGCUUUUAUCUUCUUGUAAUUUUUCAGUGUCUUCCACCUUAUAGUGACUUUCAUGCUUGUAAAGUAAAAGGACAUAAGUGCAACUAAUGUGACAUUUUAUUGUGGCAACAUUUCGCUCUCCAGGAGCUUUGUCAAGCCGUAACUGCUUGACAACCUCCUGGAGAGCGCAACGUUGCCACAAAAUGUCACAUUAGUUGUACUUGUGUCCUUUUACUUUACAUUUAUUAUUUUUAUUAUCACACUGGCCGAUUCCCACCAAGGCAGGGUGGCCCGAAAAAGAAAAACUUUCACCAUCAUUCACUCCAUCACUGUCUUGCCAGAAGGGUGCUUUACACUACAAUUUUUAAACUGCAACAUUAACACCCCUCCUUCAGAGUGCAGGCACUGUACUUCCCAUCUCCAGGACUCAAGUCCGGCCUGCCGGUUUCCCUGAACCCCUUCAUAAAUGUUACUUUGCUCACACUCCAACAGCACGUCAAGUAUUAAAAACCAUUUGUCUCCAUUCACUCCUAUCAAACACGCUCAUGCAUACCUGCUGGAAGUCCAAGCCCCUCGCACACAAAACCUCCUUUACCCCCUCUCUCCAACCUUUCCUAGGCCGACCCCUACCCCGCCUUCCUUCCACUACAGACUGAUACACUCUUGAAGUCAUUCUGUUUCGCUCCAUUCUCUCUACAUGUCCGAACCACCUCAACAACCCUUCCUCAGCCCUCUGGACAACAGUUUUGGUAAUCCCGCACCUCCUCCUAACUUCCAAACUACAAAUUCUCUGCAUUAUAUUCACACCACACAUUGCCCUCAGACAUGACAUCUCCACUGCCUCCAGCCUUCUCCUCGCUGCAACAUUCAUCACCCAUGCUUCACACCCAUAUAAGAGCGUUGGUAAAACUAUACUCUCAUACAUUCCCCUCUUUGCCUCCAAGGACAAAGUUCUUUGUCUCCACAGACUCCUAAGUGCACCACUCCUCUUUUUCCCUCAUCAAUUCUAUGAUUCACCUCAUCUUUCAUAGACCCAUCCGCUGACACGUCCACUCCCAAAUAUCUGAAUACAUUCACCUCCUCCAUACUCUCUCCCUCCAAUCUGAUAUUCAAUCUUUCAUCACCUAAUCUUUUUGUUAUCCUCAUAACCUUACUCUUUCCUGUAUUCACCUUUAAUUUUCUUCUUUUGCACACCCUACCAAAUUCAUCCACCAAUCUCUGCAGCUUCUCUUCAGAAUCUCCCAAGAGCACAGUGUCAUCAGCAAAGAGCAGCUGUGACAACUCCCACUUUGUGUGUGAUUCUUUAUCUUUUAACUCCACGCCUCUUGUCAAGACCCUCGCAUUUACUUCUCUUACAACCCCAUCUAUAAAUAUAUUAAACAACCACGGUGACAUCACACAUCCUUGUCUAAGGCCUACUUUUACUGGGAAAUAAUUUCCCUCUUUCCUACAUACUCUAACUUGAGCCUCACUAUCCUCGUAAAAACUCUUCACUGCUUUCAGUAACCUACCUCCUACACCAUACACUUGCAACAUCUGCCACAUUGCCCCCUAUCCACCCUGUCAUACGCCUUUUCCAAAUCCAUAAAUGCCACAAAGACCUCUUUAGCCUUAUCUAAAUACUGUUCACUUACAUGUUUCACUGUAAACACCUGGUCCACACACCCCCUACCUUUCCUAAAGCCUCCUUGUUCAUCUGCUAUCCUAUUCUCCGUCUUACUCUUAAUUCUUUCAAUAAUAACUCUACCAUACACUUUACCAGGUAUACUCAGCAGACUUAUCCCCCUAUAAUUUUUGCACUCUCUUUUAUCCCCUUUGCCUUUAUACAAAGGAACUAUGCAUGCUCUCUGCCAAUCCCUAGGUACCUUACCCUCUUCCAUACAUUUAUUAAAUAAUUGCACCAACCACUCCAAAACUAUAUCCCCACCUGCUUUUAACAUUUCUAUCUUUAUCCCAUCAAUCCCGGCUGCCUUACCCCCUUUCAUUUUACCUACUGCCUCACGAACUUCCCCCACACUCACAAUUGGCUCUUCCUCACUCCUACAAGAUGUUAUUCCUCCUUGCCCUAUACACAAAAUCACAGAUUCCCUAUCUUCAACAACAUUUAACAAUUCCUCAAAAUAUUCCCUCCAUCUUCCCAAUACCUCUAACUCUCCAUUUAACCCUUUGAGGGUCGACAGGCCCUCUCCGAAACUCGUUCUCAGGGUCGGCCAAAUUUAAAAAAAAAAAAAAUUAUUUUCUCUUAUGAAAAGAUAGAGAAUCUUUUCCCGAUCAUAACGACACCAAAAGUUUGAAAUUUGAUAGAAAACUUACUGAAUUAUGCUCUCGCAAAGUUAGCGGUCUCGGCGAUGUUUACGGAUCGGCGAUUUUGCCCACUUUGAGCCCCAUUUUCGGCCAAUUUCACUGUACUAGUCGACAAAAAACAUGAAUAUUUCGCUAGAACUCCAUUUUUUCUAUCGAAUGGGUGCAAGAAACCACCCAUUUAUAAAUUCAACUAUCCAGUACAGUGGUCAGAAUUUAGCAAUUUUGCCAAUUUCACACAAAUUUCAAAAGAUGCCAAUUUUCGAAUAGGGUCCAGAAUAAACAAGAAAGACAUUCCUGGCACUAAAAUGACAUUUCCUCUAGUCAUUAGUCACGUCUCAAGGCCCCUCUUAUAUUCUUUUGCUUUCCACUUUGAAUUUUUAUUCUCACAAAAAAUAUAAGAUUUACUGUUAUGCAGACUACUGCAUUAGUGUAAAAAAUGGUAUAAAUAUUAUUGGUGCACUUGUGAAAGAAUAUUAGACUCACCAGUUGACGUGUAUUGCACGCUUGGCACGAUUUGUUUACUUUUGAAGUUUGGUAAAAAUCGAACAUUUCUGCUACUUUGAGCUCAGUUUCAAGGCACCUUUCAUUGUAAAACCAGUCAAAAUCAUCUCAAUUUCAGUAAUAUGUCUUCCAUUCUAUAAAAUGAGACCAAGAAAACUAGAAUACAACAAUAAAUACCAUACGAAAAUACGCUGAUUUAUUAAAAAAAAAUGGUCAAAGUUUUUUUUUUCUCAUUAUGCACUGUGUGCUGCAGGAUUCUUUUUAGACUGUGCACACUGACCACAUAGACCCAUUCUUUCAUAUGAAGGCCUACCAGCUUUCUCCCACUAGAUUUGAGGCCGCUAGAAUUUAUGAGUACUAGUACGUCAAAAACCCCUACGCGUAAGACGUACUAGUACGACGAAAACCCUCAAAGGGUUAAUAACUCUCCUCUCCUAUUUUUAACUGACAAAUCCAUUUGUUCUCUAGGCUUUCUUAACUUGUUAAUCUCACUCCAAAACUUUUUCUUAUUUUCAACAAAAUUUGUUGAUAACAUCUCACCCACUCUCUCAUUUGCUCUUUUUACAUUGCUUCACCACUCUCUUAACCUCUCUCUUUUUCUCCAUAUAAUCUUCCCUCCUUGCAUCACUUCUACUUUGUAAAAACUUCUCAUAUGCUAACUUUUUCUCCCUUACUACUCUCUUUACAUCAUCAUUCCACCAAUCGCUCCUCUUCCCUCCCGCACCCACUUUCCUGUAACCACAAACUUCUGCUGAACACUCUAACACUACAUUUUUAAAUCUACCCCAUACCUCUUCGACCCCAUACCUCUUCGACAUAUAGUCGGUAAUUCUACCAAAAUCAUUACGACUUUCAUGCUUAUUUUAGGAGGGGUGUUAAUGUUGCAGUUUAACCCUUUGACUGUCGCGGCCGUAUAUAUACGUUUGCGAGGUACCGUGUUUGACGUAUAUAUACUCAUAAAUUCUAGCGGCUUCAAAUCAGGCAGGAGAAAGCUAGUAGGCCCACAUGUGAGAGAAUGGGUCUGUGUGGUCAGUGUGCACCACAUAAAAAAAAUCCUGGAGCACGCAGUGCAUAAUGAGAAAAAAAAAACUCCGACCGUUUUUUUUUAAUUAAAAUGCCGACUUUGUGGUCUAUUUU